GCUGUGUAGCUGUCUUGAGAAUACGAGUGGGACUGCUUGUUAUAUAUUGGAAAAUUUUCUCUUAAAUCUAUAAUCUAGGUAUUUGGAUAUAUGCGCAUAUGCCGUAAUAUGGGGGCGCAUCUUUUGUUAGCAAGACCUAAAUUGAAAUUCUAGAGAAGACCUAGGCGAAACGAGAUUAUGCAUUAAACGUUUUGCUUUUUCAAAUAUAAAACGGACGCUACGCUGAAACAAAGGAAUAAAAUGGGGGAAAAGGAAGAUGAGAGGAAAAAAUACUACUUAAGCGUUGGGGUAUCAAAAGCAAUUUUUCGAAGACACGUUCAUGCUCGUCUUUCAUAUCCAACUGGAACGGAAUAGCAUGAGAAAUGAUAGGUGUGAUGAUAUGGGGAAUUCGAGUUCUGUAAUGGCUAGUUUUUUGAUGGGCAGAUAGGAAACGAUCAAACGAAACCUAGUUUGCUAAGAAGCCCUGAUAAAAAAAAAUCGUAAUUUUACCAUUUGCUGCUUACGCCAGAAGCGCAACAGAAUCCCCAAUACGAUCC
rnacentral:sRNA from 2 species